rnacentral:lncRNA from 1 species
UUACAAGUACCUUUGAUGGUGAAAAUUACAUUUUUUAUCUGAAGAGAGUUGGGAGAAAUUUUCAUAUUGAAACGAGAUAUUGUGUAAAGAGGUUUUCAAAGAAGUCGUUUUAACAACAAUGGAAAAGCUUCCGAUUCCCGAGAUAAACGUGAAAGCAUUUGAUACACGAUUAAAGAAUCGUUCAAAAGUUUGCUUAAUUUUGACAGUGUAAUUUUAAUUACUUUUUUUUUUUUGAAAUAAACUAAUCAAUUUAUA